rnacentral:rRNA from 1 species
AUUGAACGCUGGCGGCAGGCCUAACACAUGCAAGUCGCACGAGUGGCGGACGGGUGAGUAAUGUCUGGGAAACUGCCCGAUGGAGGGGGAUAACUACUGGAAACGGUAGCUAAUACCGCAUACCAUCGGAUGUGCCCAGAUGGGAUGAGCUUGUAGGUGAGGUAACGGCUCACCUAGGCGACGAUCCCUAGCUGGUCUGAGAGGAUGACCAGCAACACUGGAACGGAGACACGGUCCAGACUCCGACGGGAGGCAGCAGGGGGGAAUAUUGAAUAAUGGGCGAAAGCCUGAUGCAGCCAUGCCGCGGGUAUGGAGAAGGCCUUCGGGUUGUAAAGUACUGUCAGCGGGGAGGCGUUACCCGCAGAAGAAGCACCGGCUAACUCCGUGCCAGCAGCCGCGGUAAUUC